rnacentral:tRNA from 1 species
GCCGAUGUAGCUCAGUGGUAGAGCAACGCAUUCGUAAUGCGUAGGCCCGCAGUUCAAAUCUGCGCAUCGGCA